GCGCAAAUGGUUUAGUGGUAAAAUCCAUCGUUGCCAUUAGCAAAACUCGAUGGGCCCCCGGUUCGAUUCCGGGUUUGCGCA